rnacentral:rRNA from 1 species
GGAAUGAGCGGCGGACGGGUGAGUAACACGUAAGGAACCUGCCUCAAGGAUUGGGAUAACUCCGAGAAAUCGGAGCUAAUACCGGAUAGUUCAACGGACCGCAUGGUCCGCUGAUGAAAGGCGCUUCGGCGUCACCUUGAGAUGGCCUUGCGGUGCAUUAGCUAGUUGGUGGGGUAAUGGCCCACCAAGGCGACGAUGCAUAGCCGACCUGAGAGGGUGAUCGGCCACACUGGGACUGAGACACGGCCCAGACUCCUACGGGAGGCAGCAGUAGGGAAUCUUCCACAAUGGACGAAAGUCUGAUGGAGCAACGCCGCGUGAGUGAUGAAGGUUUUCGGAUCGUAAAACUCUGUUGUAAGGGAAGAACACGUACGAGAGGUAAUGCUCGUACCUUGACGGUACCUUACGAGAAAGCCACGGCUAACUACGUGCCAGCAGCCGCGGUAAUACGUAGGUGGCAAGCGUUGUCCGGAAUUAUUGGGCGUAAAGCGCGCGCAGGC